ensembl:lncRNA
GCCUACAGAAGGCCUGGAGAUUGUCUUAGGUGACCGCUGGAGGAGUGCUGUCCAGCAAUAGAACUAACUUCCGGCCACGAGCAAAUCAACGCAGCAAGUCAGCAAGCGUUCCUUGGGUGCCCCCUGCAGGGCAUCAACUUCUGGCUAAGAUUGGAUAAUGGAGAUUGACUGUAUCCUCCCAUCUGAAACUACUCAAAAAAUCACCCAGAAUAUAUGGAACAAUGAUUUUCAAGACACCGGACAUCAGGCAUGAAGGACAGUCCUCUCUGAUGGGAAACAAAUGAGAGGCUGCCGUACAAAAUACCACGG